AUGUUCGGCUACCGGAAGGCGCCGGACCUCGACCUCGAGGCGGGCGGCUCCGCGCCGCUCUACCCGGGGAUGACGGAGGACGUGGAGCUGCGCUGGGCCUUCAUCCGCAAGAUCUACGUCAUCCUCUCCGUGCAGCUCGCCAUGACCGCCGCCGUCGCCGGAUUCGUCGUCAAGGUCCCCGCCGUCUCCGACUUCUUCGUCUCCUCCAACGCCGGCCUCGGCCUCUACAUCUUCUUCCUCGUCCUGCCCCUCAUCGUGCUCUGCCCGCUGCGUUACUACCACCAGAAGCACCCCGUCAACCUCAUCCUGCUCGGCGUCUUCACCGUCUCCAUCAGCUUCGCCGUCGGCAUGACUUGCGCCUUCACCAGCGGAAAAAUCAUCUUGGAAGCUGCAAUUCUCACAGCAGUGGUGGUGAUCAGCUUGACUGCCUACACUUUCUGGGCUGCAAAGAGAGGCCAUGACUUCAACUUCCUGGGCCCGUUCCUGUUUGGAGCUCUUAUGGUGCUGAUGGUGUUCUCACUUAUCCAGAUCUUUUUCCCACUGGGCAAGAUCUCCACCAUGAUAUAUGGGGCCGUGGCGUCGAUCAUCUUCUGUGGCUACAUCAUCUUCGACACGGACAACAUCAUCAAGCGCCACACGUACGAUGAGUACAUCUGGGCUGCCGUGUCCCUCUACCUCGACAUCAUCAACCUGUUCCUGAAUCUGAUGCAAAUCCUGCGUGCAGCCGAUAGCUGA
rnacentral:rRNA from 1 species